rnacentral:rRNA from 1 species
UACGUAGGGGGCAAGCGUUGUCCGGAUUUAUUGGGCGUAAAGAGCGUGUAGGCGGCCAGGUAGGUCCGUUGUGAAAACUCGAGGCUCAACCUCGAGACGCCGAUGGAAACCAUCUGGCUAGAGUCCGGAAGAGGAGAGUGGAAUUCCCGGUGUAGCGGUGAAAUGCGCAGAUAUCGGGAGGAACACCAGUGGCGAAGGCGACUUCCUGGCCUGUUCUUGACGGUGAGGCGCGAAAGCUAGGGGAGCAAACGGG